ACCCGUGUCCCCUGCAUCGGCAGGCGGACUCUCAACCACUGCGCCACCAGGGAAGCCCUGGUUCUACCUUUUGAAUUGUGCCUUCCACACUUCUUCUUGGCUGUAAUAGCUCUUCAAACUCAAGCAUUCACAACCAGACCUGUUAUUUUGUUAUUUUCCCCUUCAGACCAAAUAUACCCUUCUACUUCUCAUCUCUGGUGGUUGUCCUGUGUAUUCUCUGACCCUGUAGGCUGGAAUCCUCAGAGCAUCCCUUAACUCAUCUUUCUCCCAUACCUUGCCAUUCACCAGGUCUGGUUGAUUUUUCUUUCCUAGUUGUCUUUGUGGUCUUAGAGGAAGGAAAGAAAUUAGCAUUUAUUGUCUGCUUGGUGCUGCAUUUUGGGCUAGGGAAAUCAUCUCAUUGCAUCCCCAGAUCUUAUGCGGUAGGUAGAUCUUGUGUCCCUGGGUGCUCUGAGAGAUCAAGGCACCUGCCCAGGACUGCCCAGGUGGGCAGCAGCAGAGACAGGAGUCUCGCCUGAUGCCAGGGGUGCAGGCUCUCAUCGCCUCACAAGACACCAGCUGCCCUUUUACUCUCGGCCUCUGCCCUUCCAUUCGCCCUUCAUGCUAAUCUACUCUCAGCAUUUCUCCUGUCACUCUUCUGCUCAAAAACCUUCAGUGGCUCCCGAUUUCCCACCAGAGGCAUAGCAUUUUCAUUUUGAAUAUGAAGACACUGAAGCCCAGAAGAAGGGAGAAAGUUGUCCCCAAGGAUGUGGCUAGCAAGUAGUUGGCUGUGGUUUGAACUUCCAGAACUUCUGACUCUAAGUCUACCGUGCUGUGCUUCUCAGCUGUUGAAGAUCUCCCGCCCAGUUCUCAAGGCCCCCCAUCUCCCCACCUAACCUCAUUUCCCACACUGACAGAACUCAGCUUCCAGGCCCUUUGACCAGUUUCCUUCACCCUAACUCUGAGGCCACUAACUCUGGCCUCUUAGCCACCUUUGCUUAUGUCCCUAACUUGCCGGGAUGUUUUCCUCCCUUCCUUGUACCCAUCUUAGCCCCUCACUUGCCUCAGGCCUCACCUCCUCCCAGAAACCUGCUUCACUUAGUUUUCAUGGAUCUCACUCCCUAAAUUCCACACCACAUAAUUAAUUACACACUUAAUCAUAGAUUAUUAAUGAUAGAUUUGUCUUGUACUGUUUGCUGCUGUUUCCUAUGUCAGAACCUCUUCUCCUCUGGGGACCGUGUCUUCUAGGUUUGUUUUUCUGCUUCACCUUGUUGGGGGAAGGAGGUGACUUAGCUUCAAACAAGCACCUGGAAAGGAACCAAACCUUGCAUUGGUUUUGUCCCUCACGGUGCUCUGUAAGUGCUUGUCCAUCAGUUGGGACCUUCUCUGGUGAUGAGAAUCUCCAGCUGCCCUUUCACUCCUGGAUGAUGCCGCAGACUCAUUGGGGACGAGCCUCCCCAACUCCACCGUGGGGAAGUGGUGACAGGCCGUGCAGCAUGGCAUCUGGAAGUGGGGGCUUUCACCUGCUGGUGGUGCCUGGUAACACCACAGAGUUUGCAGUAAAGAGGACGGAGUGAGAAUUCCAGUGUUCCUCUGUGUGGAGGGCAGAUGCCAAAGGGAAACAGAAGUUCAUUCAGACCGGGAAGAAGGCCCAGUCUGGCGCCUGUCUACGUGGUUACUGCUGUCUUAUUAUUUGUGGCCCCCACCAGAGAGGCCAUCUGCCUGACAGCCGUCCUCAGCCCUCUUUCUCUCCUUCAGGUGACCAGCCGUGAGUGGGGUAGGGGGAGAGUUAAUAGGAGCUUUUACAUUUUUAUCUUUUUAUAAUUUAUAAAAACGUUCUUUUAUUAUUGAAGUUUUCACACACGCCAAAGUUGAGAAAACAGGACGCUGGGCCUUCUUUUUCCCAACGCUCGGCUGUAACACUUACCAGUAUUUUGUUGGUCUUGUCUCCUCCCCUCGUAGCUUUGGUUUUUUGUUUUGUUGUUGUCUGUGGCCACCUAGCGCAGCAUGUGGGAUCUUAGCUCCCCGACCAGGGAUCAAACCAGUGCCGCCUGCAGUGGAAGCGUGGAGUCUUAACCACUGGACCGCCAGGGAAGUCCCUGUAGCUUUGUUUGUAAAAAUACUGUACAGUUUGGUCUGGCCUUAGUGAUUAGUGGCGUUAUUUUUUUUUCCCUCAGCAAUUUGUCCCUGUUGCUCAGAGCAGUGCAGGCAAAUGGUUCUCAGGCCACUGUCCUGGCACAUGGGGCUGCCUGGCUCUGCCCAUUCAUUUGUUGUUUGUCUGUCUUUCUUUGAUCCUGUUUCUCCACUUGCAUUCGUGACAUUCUGGUCAAGAGCCGGUUCCAGUGGUCUUUAAUCAGAGGACUUUGGAAGCCUGUGAGGGUCUCUUUUGGUCAUCACGGUGACUGGGGGUGCUGCUACUGGCAUUUAGGCUGGAGGCUGGCAGGGGUCCAGGUGUGGGGAGCACAGAUGUUCAACAGCCAUAGCUGUGAGGGACCGUUCUGCAUUGUGAACACCUGUUCCAUCCACACUCGGUCAUGCUGCUGGGCACGCCUAAUGUACGAUGUGGAUUGGGGAUUGCCUUUCUCUUCAUGCCUUUUAUAAACGCUUAAAAGUUUGAUAUAAUCCAUUUGUUGAUCACCGUUGAUUCAUGUAAUCAGGUGACUGUAACUAGCCUCUGGUCCUUUCUGAGGGUUCAUCCUUGGUUGCAAACCCUUUGGUUGUUUUACGUGGGAAAAUGGGGUAUCUUGCAGCCUGUGCCCCAGCUUUCUCGUUGCCUGUCCCACGCCUUAUCACUGGCAUCCUGCCAGGCCCAGUGGAGAAUGGGGAUGGAGACAGUGACAUUCAGCCGCAGGUCAUUCACAGCUUUUGGUGCCCUGGGGGCAGCUGAGAGGGAGGUUGUGGAAGAUCAUCCUUGAAGGGAUUGUAAACUCCUGGGGGCAGGGCUUGGUGGCUAUUCUCCUGCCUCUUCCGGCCAUCAGCCUGCUGCUGCUGGGAAGGAAGCGCCCCUUAGCAGGCGGUAGCUGAUUAUCUCGGGUGCAGUCGGGGAGCCUCUGCAGGCAGAACAUGGAAAGUGACAACUUCUGAGUUCUUUUUAUUUUCAGUCUCACUCGAGAUGGAUGGCAGCCUUCCACUGUGGGAAAUGAAAUGUGUUCAGGCAACUUGGGCCCCAGGCGCAGAUGAGAAUGGGCUAAUGGGCACGGAGGAAGGAGCGGGGCUGGAGGGGAGAGGCACACUGUUAGUCAUUACUAAUCCGUGACAGCUGCCAGCCAGCCGCUGGCGGUUAGCACCCUACUGCGCCUGGGACACAGGGCCUCUGGGCCUGUCCUUUCUGGAACACUCCAGGGCCCAAACUGUCUCAACUUGUGUGCUGUUCAAACCUCAAAUCCGCAUGGAAGAUGCAAUUGGCCAGGCCGGCAGUGUCAGCAUGGGAUGCUGAGUGUGGGCCCUGCAGUGCCGAGGCCAUCGCCAUGAUGGCAAACAAGGGUGGUCCAUGCUGUCUAAUAGAAGAGACAAGAUUGCAAAAACGUAGCUGGGAUUCAGUGUGAUGAGCGUACUCACGGAGGGAGGUGCUGCAGCCCUUGAACUGGUAUUGUGAGCCACAGGGAGGUCGUGCUGAGUGGGUCAGGAGAGCUUCCCAGAGGAGGAGGUAUUUGGGGUGGGUCCUAAUGAGUAAGUAAAAUGUAACCAUUCAUAGGUACUCAAGGCAGAGAAAGGGAAUUCUAGGCAGAGGGGAUGGCAUGGAUAAAAACAUGAAGGCCUGAAGAAACAUGGUGAGUUCAAGACCCUUGUGUAUAUUUGGUGUGGCUAGAGUGUAGACAGUGCGCCUUAACUCUUAACACCAACCCUAUGGGGUGGGUAAUUAGGAUUAGCCCCACUUUACACUUGAGGACACUGAGGCACGGACAGGAUAGUAACUUGGCGAAGCAGAAGCUGAGGUUAGAGGCAGGCCUCCCAUUAGCUCAGAGAAGGUUUCCUGAGUUGUUCUGAAAAGCGUGCAUUUGAUCUUGAAGGCAGAGGGAGAAACUGAAGGUGAUUAAACAGGGCGGGCCUGGGUGAAAUGUGCCUUUUCUAGAGAUUGCUCUGGCAGUGUGCCCUCCACAAGUGAAGCAUCACUUGAGGUUUGUUUCAUAAGUGAACACUUGAAUGCUUUGCUGUCAAGUUUGUUUUGAAUCAAGCACCUAGUUAUUUCCUAGUAUGUGUCCCGCCCUCCCCCCACCCCAUUGUAGCUUUUGUUGAUGUUGUUUCUCUUCACUUGGUUGAUGUUUAAGUGAUUGAUUGAGUUCAUAGUGUUUGAACCUCACCUUAAUGUCUAAUAAUCAAGAUCAAACUUUCUUCCUAACACAGCAAUAUUGCACGGUAAGGCUGGCUCACAGUUGAGAGGAAAUGCCAGCUCCAAGAAGGCAAAGGGCUGUAAUUACUUAAAGUGACCUCAUUUAAGAAUUUUGAGUGACCGUUUGAUUGUCAGAGUUCUGCAUACAUUGUAUUUUAUUUCUGUCCAGGUUUCCACUGGCUGAACACUUUGGUUAUGAGCUGAGUGUCAAGGCCAAAUAUUGCAUUUUGAAACUGAGAGUCAAACUAGCAAUUUAAACUCCUGACUUUCGUACCUGUCUGUGAAAUUCAGAUAAAUGAAAUGGAAAUCUAACAGGGCUGCUGUGUUACGAAAUACUGACUCUGCCUCUCCUUGUAGAGAAAUCUCUAAGGGAAAAUCAUUUUAGCGUAUAUAAAUAUAUUAAAAAUAUAUAUAACACACUUUUCCCCCCCUUUUUUUAGUCUUCCUUUCACUUUCUUGAUUUGCCCCAUUUGUGAUUUCCCAUUCAAAUUAGGCUUGUUUGAAACCAAGGGUCCCUUGAAGAGGCACUUGUGGUAAUUUUGAAAAUGAAACCUACUCCUUGAAAAUACUUCAGCCUAGCUUGUCCACCUUCCUGUCUGUUUCUGCAGCUGGUGUUUCUCACCACUUCCCCACAUCCUCUCUUCCCCUGGGGCCAGCUCCACGGUGGCUGCCUAGUUUAGGCUCUUGCCCUGAUCGCGUUCCCCACCUCCUUUACCUGCAGAGGUGUCCUUCCUGACCCCUCGCUUUGGGUGCCCGAGAGUUCUCCUCCUCCGUCUCUGGCUGCGGUAGAGGAUAGGGGCCCCCUCCCCUCAGAGCAUAGGAGAGCGGGUGUCUGUGCAGACGCAGGCUGGCUGCCCAGGGCACUGACAUGGGUUUGAGGCAUAGGAGGACUCCAAAGCCUUGCUAACAAAGCUUGCAUGCCCAUGAUCUAGUGGCACCAGAACUACUUCUACUGUCCCCCAGGAUCCAAAUUUGAGAACUGACUUUCAGCUUGCUCUGAAUCAAUCAAUGGUAAAAGGCAGAUCAUAAAAUCCUCAAGAACAUGGAUCAUAUGUAUUAUUUGGAUGCUGUCUACCAAUGCUCACUGGCUUUCAUUCUUAAUAAUUGUUAUUUUAAAAGGUUUCUCUUCUUAUAAAUAUUUAUUUAUUGUAGCAAAUUUAGGCAAAAACCAGUUAAAAAAGAAAAAGAAAGAAAAGAAAAAGAAUAAUCCCACUGCUCUCAAAAAAAUAAUCCCCGUUACUUUUUUGGUGUACCUCCUUCUGCCAUUUCUUAUAUACACAGGUGCAUGCAGACAUAUGGGCUUAUGUAAGACACUGUUUUGGAAGUCUGAGCUGCUUUUCAGUUAAUACUUACUCUGAUCAUCAUUCCAAGGCAUUAAAUAUUCUCCUAGGAUAUCUUUUAAACGUCUGUAGAACAUCUUUUGUAUGAAUGAACGAAAGUGUUUAUUUAGGCAGUCCUUUCUGGUUGGACAUAUAUGUUGUUUCCAGUGUUCCUGCCACUCUUGAUAUAGCAUUAAGGUGAGCUUUCUUGUAGCUAUUGCCCACGACUCUGGAACAUUUCCUAGGAAAAAUUCCCUAAAGUGGAAGUGCUGGGUCAAGCUUUUUUUUUUUGAAGCUUUUGGUGCAUAAUAAUAUUUACUUUUGUUUCU